GUCUACAGCCAUGCCACCCUGAACUCGCCCGAUCUCAUCUGAUCUUGGAAGCUAAGCAGGGUCGUCUGAUCUCGGAAGCUAAGCAGUGUCGGGCCUGGUUAGUACUUGGAUGGGAGACCACCUAGGAAGAGCAGGUGCUGUAGGUG
rnacentral:rRNA from 1 species